ensembl:lncRNA
AUAGGGAUUCCACAUGGUUGUCUGCCCCAUGUGUGAUGAUCCUUGAUCCAGCCCUAUACACAGAAAAUUCACUCUCCCCACAGUCAUCCAACAAGGUAACCCUCUGUUCCAGGGUAAACUCCAUCAUGCACCUGUAGUGCCUCACUUUGUAGCCCAGGGAUGGAGUCUUCAUUUUAGCUCCCUUUUCUAAUAUGCUUUUCUUCCACUUGAUUUCUGCAAGUUUUUUCUUAUUCUGUACAUUGGACCUCCACAUUAGCCCCUCAGUGUGGUCUAAAUAUUUCUCAUUCAUUCUCACCCAUAGGUCUGGUUGUAACCACUUCUUUCUUAUAUAGUCUUGACAUUCCACCUUUACCAAUGGGGAUUCCACACGGUUCUCUGCCCCAUGUGGAAUCUUAUUGGUCCAAGUCCCAUAGUAAAGAAAAUGCACAAUUCCCAUAGUGAUCCAAAAAGUUUACCCUGACUGCCAUGAUACAUCUGUAGUGCCUCACCUCGCAGCCCAGGAAUGGGGUCUUGACUUUACCUCUCUUUUCUAAUAUCCUGUUUUCACUUUUGAUUUCUGCACAGUCUUUCUUACUCUGUUCAUUGUUUUCUAACAAUAUCCCCUCAGCAUGUUCUCAAUGUUUCUUAUUCAUUCUCACCCAUAGGCUCUCAGUUUGGAACCACUUCUUUGUUAUAAGGAGUUGACAUCCCACCUUUACUAAUUGGGAUUCCACAUGGUUGUCUGCCCCAUGUGGAAUCCUAUUGGUUCAAGUCCCAUAGCAAAGAAAAUGCCCAUUUCCCACAGUGAUCCAAAAAGGUUACCUUGACUGCCAGGGUAAAUACUAUGAUACACCAGACUGCCUCACCUCAUAGCCCAGGUAUGGGGACUUGACUUUUGCCCCCUUUUCUAAUAUCCUCUUCUCCAUUUUAAUUUCUGUGCAGGCUUUCUUAAACUGUUCAUUGGCCUCCUACUCUGUCCCUCAGUGUACUGAUAAAGGUUUCUCAUUUAUUUUUCUCCUGUAGGGUCCCCAGUUUGUAGCCACUUCUUUGUAAUAUGGGGCUUACAUGCCACCAUAAUCAAGGGGAAUUCCAUAUGGUUUCCUUGGCCAUGUGGAAUAUUGUCGGUGACAGUCCCAUGGCAAAGAAAAUUCACUAUUUCCACAGCCAUCCAACAAGGUAACCCUGUGUUCCAGGGUAAACUCCAUCAUGCACCGUAGUGCCUCACCUCACAGCCCAGGGGUACAGCUAUGGAGCUUGAAGAGACACAGUGAGAGAGAAACAAAAUCCACUGCAUAGACCCUCAUUUGUUAGCCCUUCCAAUCACAGAUAAAGGCCUUGUUUCUAUUUCCUACCCAUUCUCUGGCAGGAAGGGCUUCUAGUCUACUGGCUUUCAGGUUUAAUGUAUAUGGAAUACCACCCCCACCUCUUUUGCUCCUUUCCUAGGCCUUCUAGAUCUUAAAAUCACUUAAUGCAGAGCCAGUUCAAAUGGGAGCCUCUCUGCCUUGGGAGUUAUCCCUUUUCAUUCAUAGAUACUCACCCCUAAGCACUGAGGUUUGCAAACUCACUUAUUCUCUGGAGACCAAACAGGGUCAUGAUUUCUACUUAGAGGAAAAGACUUUUCUCAGCAUUUCUAUUCCAAGCCUUCUGCCAGUGUAUGAUUAAGGAUUCAUCUGCUAUUCUCCAUAGGAAGGUUGUCCCUGUUUGUUUGCCAUUGCUAGUAAGAACUGGCCUUACAGUGGGACCAAGUUAGAAUGAGCAUCAUACCCCAGCUUCAUGUCAGUCCUCCUGGCAUUUGCUCCACAGUAAAAAACCAGACGUUGGGUCACCAGUCAGUUCCAUGCUGCCCUGGUCUGCCAGGGGAAGCAGCAGUUCACCCAGAGGGCCCCACUCUGACCCCAGAGAUGGGGCCCAACAAGCUAUCUUGCUCUCUGAGACCAAGGAGGGUCUUGAUAUUCAGUCAGAGGGCAGGUCUUUCCUUUCUAUUGGUCAGUGGCCAGGAUUUCAGUUUUAUAUGGCUGUAGGUUGACAGCCACUUCCCAGAGGCAGGGCCCCUGGUUUCUUUCUAAUACUUGGCCAAUCAGAGCAUUCUUUCCACCAAGGGCAAAGCUGAAGGAGCAUUGUAUUGCAGGCCAAUGGAUAUUGUUCCUUUUUGGGACCCUGUAGCCAAGUAGACUCACUGCAACCACAAACCACCUUUCAUUGCUGGGGAAGGUGCCACAUUGUACCUGUAAACCUCUCUGCCCACCUGGAGCAGCAGGGAUACUUGCUAAUCAGCUAUCUCACUAUCCUCUUGCAUACUCCAAUACCUCAUGCAAUAGUCUUGUUGCUCUUUUGCUCCAAUCACAUAAUACUCAGAGCAGAGAUAAAGUCUUGUCAGCCAUUCUUCACCUAUAGGGCCCUCAGAUUUGUACCCACUUCUCUGUUACAUGGGGCUUCCAUGCCAUUAUCAUCAAGGACUCUACAGGGUUCUCUGCCCCAUGUGUGAUAUUUCUUGACCUAGCCCCAUAGCAAAGGAAAUUCACUCUUCCAAUAGUCAUUGAAAAGGGAACCCUGUCUGACAGGAUAAAUACCACCAUGUACCCGUAAUGUCUCACCUUGCAGCCCAGUGUUGGAGACAUGUUUUCUAUUUCAGCAGUGUAUGGCUAUAGAUUGGUCAGCCAUUUCCCAGUGGCAGGAUUCCUGAUUUCUUUCCAAUAGUUGGUUACUCAGGGCAUCCUUUUUACUCAGGGCAAGGGUGAAGGAGCACUGGGUUGAAGGCUAAUGGAAGUUGCUCUUUCCUGAUACCCUUUAAGAAGGAAACUCACUGUUACCUAAGUUCUUUCAUUGCAACUUCAUUUUUCAAGCAAAUUUUUGUGUUGCCUAUCUUUUUAAGGUUAUGAAUUAAUUUUUCAUUAUGAUAUUUUCCACUAAAUGUUACUUCCUUUAAUUACUCUUUUUUCUUCAUUAAUUUUGAUUGUUGUUUGAAGUUUCUGGCAUUUAUCUAUUAUCUCAUUCUUAUAAUUUGGCCUUUUUCUUUUAGUCCCAUUGAACCAUGCCUUUUCAUACUUAAAUAUAAUAAGCUGUUAACUUUCUAAUUUUAUGUCACUGCCUUACUCAUUGGUUAAAAUGAUCAGGUUGAUGAUAAAUGCUUAACAAAUAUUUUUUAAAAUUUGCAUUGUUUUGGCAUAGAACCAGUCCCUAGGACUCGGGAGAAUCUGUGUCCCAAUGUGGCUGAUCUUACCAGAUCUGUGACUGUGGGCAAGUGAUUAAAACCGCUUUGUUUCCAAAAAAAAGAAAAAGAAAAAAGAAAAGAAAAGCAAUUUUGAAUAGUUCAAAUAUUUAUCUAUUUUCUUUUUCAUUUUCCUUUUUGAGUAAUAAAAAAUAUCUGAUUUGUAGUAAUAGUAGUUAAAAUUGUACAAUCUGUUUCAAAUGUUACAGUAAUUCCAAUAGCCUCACAAGUUCCUCAUUCUCUUAUGACAAUAUUGGAGGCAUAUUUCAUUCUUUCACCUCUAGAAUUGUUUUUGUUGUUUUCAAUUAUCUUAAUUCAGGUUUAUCUUUUGUUUUUUUCCUCCCAUCUUUUCAUUUCCCCAAACUUCUGCUAAAUUCACCUGUAUUUAUCUCAUAUAAAUCUUUAAAUGGUGUUCAUCUUUAUAGUCAUUUUUUCCCCGGAUAUAAUACAUCUUUUAUUUCAACACAAUGCAACCUUUGUUUUAGUUCAAUUUUAUUAGCAUAGUAUUAACACUGAUUUGUUUUGCCAUAUUUUUAGAUUCACGAGCAUGGGUGGGUUGUUUCCAUUUCUUUGCUACAAAGUAUAUUUACCUCACCUAAUUCAAUUUAACAGGAAUUAUUUUUGAUACUCCCCCAUUUUACAGAUGACAAAAUUCAAGUGUUGAGAAUUCCAAAAUUUUGUUGGACUGGCAUAAACGAAUGCUUUGGGACUAUUCAUUUCAUUGGGAGCCUAGAAAAAUGGAAUUGGGAGACUUUGGCAUGUCAAUGUUCAACUGAAGUUUCCCGAGAUCUAAGUUCUAUGAGCUCAGCUAUGUUAAAUAGUCCUACUUCAGGAGAAGACAGCAUCUAAACCAUCCCAGUCCUUUUUCAUCUUAUUGGGCAAGAGGCCUUAUAACCUCUCGGAAAAACUUUUUUCACAAUGUUUUACAAACUUAAUUGUUGAUAACAUUGUUUUUUGUUCUAAAUAUCCUCAAACCAGUUCCCUUCAUAUUCUUCUUCAAAAUGGAGAUGUAGAUUUGUGAAAUACAUCUUCCUAAAUUUCAAUUUCAAGAACAAAUUAUUCCUCAGCAUUUUCUUCUCCAGACUAAACAAGGCCCAUCAUCUUUUAAAACAAACAAACAAACAAACCCGGUGCUGUUCUCAUGUUCUCAUGCUUCUUCAAAAUAAAGGCCCACACAAAAAAAGUAAUUUUUCACCUCUGAAUAAGGCCUAAUCAAUAUGGAAUAUAGUUGAGAAAGCCUUCCUUUCUAGCUUUUGCAUGUGGCAAUGUAGUAUGCGCUUAAUGGUUUGCACAUAGUAGGUACUUAAUAAUAAACAUUGCACGGAGUAGGUGCUUUCAAAUAUUGCACAUAGUAGGCAUUUAAUAAAUUGCACAGAGUAGGUGCUUAAUCAGUGUUUGUUAAAUUGAGAGAAAACAUCUUUCCCUCGUAGUACCUCACAUGGCACUUUGUUUUCACUUCUUUCACAAUUCUUGCUGUCUUUUUAAAAAAUCAUAGUUAUUUGCAUUUGUAUCAUAUCUUUAUUGUAAACUUCUUGAGGGCAAAGAACUAUCUGUCUAAUCUACCAAGCAAAUUGUUCUGCUAUAUAAAUGCUACUAUAUUGCUUAAUCAAUGUUUAAUUUUUGAUUUGAGUAGAAUUGUUUCCUUGUUGAUGCAUCUCUAACAUCAUGUUAGGAUGCCUGUACUGCACGAUUAGCACCUUAUUAUAUAUUAUCCUGUUGUAUCUUAUAGCAUUAUUUUGAGAGAAGGAAAAGCUUCAUAUACUAUAAAACAUUGUAUUCAUGCUAUUAUUGUUACUAUGACAUUGUUAUUUUCUAGUUGCUUUUAUUAUAUAAUUUAGCACUUUAUUGUAUUAGUAUAUAGUGCUUUCUUAUUAUCUACUAAUGUUAUUUUGUGUGUAUAUCCCAUUUUCCCAACUAGAUUGUAAACAUAAGGUAGGCAAUGGCUAUGCAUAACUUGUAAAUCGUAUGUACUCAAUAAAUGCUUAAUGAAUGAUGA